GCGGAUGGCCGGGCGGCCGCGCUUCCCGGGCCUCGCGCCCGCGGGGGUGAGGAAAGUCCGGGCUCCACGGAGGCGCGGCGCCGGGUAACGCCCGGCCGGCGAAGGGGCGACCCCGAGCCGAGGGAAAGCGCCACAGAGAUGAGACCGCCGUUCUCCCCGGCCCUUCGUGGGAGGGCAUGGGACGGCAAGGCUGAAACGGUGGGGUAAGAGCCCACCGCGUCCCCGGCGACGGGGACGGCACGGCAAGCCCCGCCGGGAGCAAGAUCAAGUUGGGUCGGCCGCGGGCGUCCUUCGGGGCGUGCCGCGAGGGGCAGCCUUCGCCCCGCCGGCCAUGGUGGAUCGCGAGAAGCCGGGGGCGACCCCGGUUCCAGAUGAAUGGUCGCCCAGGGGUCUUUCGAGGCCCCGGACAGAACCCGGCUUACAGGCCGUUCGCUGCA
rnacentral:RNase_P_RNA from 1 species